GGUGGGGAGCGUUGUACUUUUGUUCAAUAUGUGCAAGAAUCACAUUGAGUAGGUAUUUUAUCUUUGUCCAGUAUACUAAGUGGCAAGAUACACCCCUUUGAGAUUUAAUUCACUCAUUUUAACUGUUGUUAGUGCUGAAAAUAUUAUAAUGGAUCACGUAUUGGAGGAUCGAACCAUUAAAAUACGAAAUAGUCUGAAUUUUAAAUGCUCUGAAAUGCAUUGUGGGAAUGUCCAAUUUUUUUGGUCUUUUGGAUGCUAUUCUGGCUAAAUGGCAUGUUGAACAUGGUACACCUUUAAGUGAGGUAGAAAUAUAUGUCUAAUGUGGAAAAAACUGAGUUUAGCAAACUGAUUAUUUCAUACAUAAGCACCACUUCUAAAGAUUUGGGACAUUCUUUCAUUUACUAGGGUAGGUAAUACUAACCUUAUCUUUCCCCAAAAUAUUCUUUCUAAAGAAAGGUAGAUCAUUCUGAAAGAAAUUAUUCUUUAUACAUACUUCCACAAGCAAUGACUUAUUAAAAACCAGUUACAUUUUGUCUUUUUUUUUCCUAUUCAUAUUUGACUUUUUCCCCCUCCAUACCCAUUCACUUUACAGUCAUGAUUUCGUGCUUUGAAUAGAGAGGUGCUUUCUGAUUUGGGAGAAUCAUUUUAGUUACAGCUGAAAAUAAAAAGGACAUGCUAGACUAUACUUUUCUUCUAGGUCAUCUCUGUUUAAUAUUUCAGAAAAAAAUAAUAGUAUUAGGACCACAACCUCUCCUUUACAAAUACCUGCAUUGUAUGAAGAAUUGGCUUGGCUUGAUAUUUGACAAAAGAUAAAACUCUAGAAGUAACUUUUUUCAGAAUCACUGUAGAAUAGUGAGCUGAAUGUAGAACCAUGACUUUACCGUGCCUUUAUUGUCCCCUUUCUAGUGCCUACUAUCACAAACUAAAUGCUUAAUACUUGUUGGCUUGAAUUGAUGUCCUUGAAGAUGUGAAUUUCUAGUGGGUACUAACUAUAUCUGCUGCUGAGAUGAAGGAAGAGGGCCAGAUGAAGGGAGAGUGAAGAUCAUUUGUCAUAUAAUGUCACCCUAUAAAUAUUUUGAAGAGAUUCUAUUGCUAUAAAGCAUAAAUACAUCCCUGUUGGGAAAGACAGGAGCAGUGUUUUCUGAUUAUAAGGAGUGUUUGUUGGAGCUACAGGAGUGUGGAAGCAAUUCAGGAACAUCAUUGCGAGGAGUCUCUGGCAGAGAGAAUUCAAACAGCUGUGAUGGGAAAUGGGGUACAGCCUUCACAGGACAUACAUGAUAAAAUACCAGAGUGGAAUGUUGUCCUGAUGUUGGAUGGGAUUCUCAGGUGAGAAGCUAGUUUAUCAGUACUGUGAA